rnacentral:misc_RNA from 1 species
CAACCCUCAAGCACAGCUUGGUGUUGGGACCCGCGAGUUAAAUCGCGUUCCCCAAAUUGAUUGGCGGUCACGUCGAGCUUCCAUAGCGUAGUAGUAAAACCCUCGUUACUGGUAAUCGUCGCGGCCACGCCGUUAAACCCCAACUUCUGAA